AUUGAACGCUGGCGGCAGGCCUAACACAUGCAAGUCGAGCGAGCGGCGGACGGGUGAGUAAUGUCUGGGAAACUGCCUGAUGGAGGGGGAUAACUACUGGAAACGGUAUCUAAUACCGCAUACCAUCAGAUGUGCCCAGAGGGGAUGAGCUAGUAGGUGGGGUAAUGGCUCACCUGGGCGACGAUCCCUCGCUGGUCUGAGAGGAUGACCGGCAACAUUGGAACUGAGACACGGUCAAGACUCCUACGGGAGGGAGCAGUGGGGAAGAUUGCACAAUGGGCGCAAGCCUGAUGCAGCCAGGCCGCGUGUGUGAAGAAGGCCUUCGGGUUGGAAAGCACGUUCAGCGGGGAGGCGUUACCCGCAGAAGAAGCACCGGCUAACUCCGUGCCAGCAGCCGCGGUAAUUC
rnacentral:rRNA from 1 species